UCUGGAUCAUUGAUGUUGUCUAAUACUGCGUUAUCUAUCUGUAGUAAAUUAUUUUUUGAAGAUAACUACUUAUUCUGAGAUCCAAU